GUGGGGAAUAUUGCGCAAUGGGGGAAACCCUGACGCAGCAAUACCGCGUGAGUGAAGAAGGUUUUCGGAUCGUAAAACUCUUUUAUUGGGGAAGAAGAAGUGACGGUACCCAAUGAAGAAGUCCCGGCUAACUACGUGCCAGCAGCCGCGGUAAUACGUAGGGGACAAGCGUUGUCAGGAAUCACUGGGCGUAAAGGGCGCGUAGGCGGUUUUAUAAGUCAGAUGUGAAAGGUACCUGCUCAAUCGGUGACGUGCAUUUUAAACUGUAAGACUUGAGUACGGGAGAUGCAAGUGGAAUUCCUAGUGUAGCGGUGAAAUGCGUAGAUAUUAGGAGGAACACCGGUGGCGAAGGCGGCUUGCUGGACAGAUACUGACGCUGAGGUGCGAAAGCGUGGGGAGCGAACAGGAUUAGAUACCCGUGUAGUCC
rnacentral:rRNA from 1 species